rnacentral:misc_RNA from 1 species
GAUGAAGAACGUAGCGAAAUGCGAUACGUAAUGUGAAUUGCAGAAUUCAGUGAAUCAUCGAAUCUUUGAACGCAUAUUGCGCUCUCUGGUAUUCCGGAGAGCAUGCUUGUUUGAGUAUCAGUAAACACCUCAACUCCCCUUUCUUUUUUUGAAAUGGGAGCUGGACUUGAGUGAUCCCAACGCUUUUCUCACCGAAAAGUGGCGGGUUACUUGAAAUGCAGGUGCAGCUGGACUUUUCUCUGAGCUAAAAGCAUAUCUAUUUAGUCUGCCUAAAAAACAGAUUAUUACCUUUGCUGCAGCUAACAUAAAGGAGAUUAGUUCUUGUGCUGACUGAUGCAGGAUUCACAGAGACAGCUUCGGCUGGCCUUUGUAAACUCGAUCUCAAAUCAAGUAAGACUACCCGCUGAACUUAGGCAUAUCAAUAAGCGGAGGA